CUACUCGUUCUUUUCUCCUCCACACGUCACGGGCCCCAUCCACCGCCUGUGUCGUGCCUUAUCUCUUCACCUAUGAGCUCCACCACUCAUUUCACCUCAUUUCCAUCUACGCAUCCUUCCUCUAUCACUCUUUCUCCCCAAAAUAACAGUAGCGUGGAUCCCCUUUCUCUGGAUUUCCUCUCCAAUAUCCACUCCUCACCUAAUCCUGCUCCUCCGUUGAUCUCUAACGCAACCAAAUCCACUGCUCUAGUGGCUGCGGAUCACACCGUUCUGAAGGAAGGGAGGCGGAGGUGCUGCUACGGGAGCCGGGGCGAGCGGCUACCGUGGGGAAGGACAUCCACGGUUGCUGGAGACGGCGGCCAGCGAUACUACAACAGGCCGAGCCGCACCGCGCACCUACGGCCAAAGCUACGACCACGCCGGCCGGCGUUUUGGGGGCUGCAUACCAUGUGCUGCAACCGUGUGUUGGAGAUGACGAGGCCACCCGGCGAGGAUGCUGGAACCGGUGACUGUCCCUGCUACGCCCGGCGACGUCCACGGCGACGACAUGUGCUGCAACCGACCGGCAAAAAUGCUGGAACCAGCUCUCUGUUUUGCUGGAACCGGCAUCCCAUUUUGCUGCGAUAGCGAACAACGACCGGAUAUGCGACAUGCGAGGCGAAAAACGAUGGAAUUCACAGGGUGGGGGAGUCUGACAUCACUACUUGGGCUGGCACAAUUCUCGCUCGCUUGCUGCUUUUUAACCAGCUCGCUUUCGUUUCUUUGUCUCUGAUUCAUACAUUUCUAUCACACAUGUUUUAUCCCCCCCCCCCCCCCACAAUAAUAUAUGUUUUUUCUUGCUCAUUUAUUAUUGUAAAAUGUUCACUAUUUGGAAAUGUUGGGAAAUCAUAAAUUGUUCACUAAUUCAAAUUUUUUUA